rnacentral:rRNA from 1 species
GUGUCAGCCGCCGCGGUAAGACGGAGGGUGCUAGCGUUGUUCGGAAUUACUGGGCGUAAAGGGCGCGUAGGCGGCUACUUAAGUCGGGUGUGAAAGCCCGGGGCUCAACCCCGGAACUGCAUCCGAGACUGGGUGGCUGGAGAUCGGGAGAGGAGAGUGGAAUACCCAGUGUAGAGGUGAAAUUCGUAGAUAUUGGGUGGAACACCGGUGGCGAAAGCGGCUCUCUGGCCCGAUUCUGACGCUGAGGCGCGAAAGCGUGGGGAGCAAACAGGAUUAGAUACCCUGGUAGUCCACGCCCUAAACGAUGCGAGCUGGAUGUCGGAGGGCUUGCCCUUCGGUGUCGGAGCUAACGUGUUAAGCUCGCCGCCUGGGGAGUACGGCCGCAAGGUUAAA